rnacentral:rRNA from 1 species
GACAGAGGGUGCAAACGUUGUUCGGAAUUACUGGGCGUAAAGCGCGUGUAGGCGGCUUCGCAAGUCGGGCGUGAAAUCCCACGGCUCAACCGUGGAAGUGCACUCGAAACUGCAAAGCUAGAGUCCUGGAGAGGAAGGUGGAAUGCUUGGUGUAGAGGUGAAAUUCGUAGAUAUCAAGCGGAACACCGGUGGCGAAGGCGGCCUUCUGGACAGUGACUGACGCUGAGACGCGAAAGCGUGGGGAGCAAACAGGAUUAGAAACCCCAGUAGUCC